rnacentral:rRNA from 1 species
GCCUGCGCGGAAGAUGUGACGGGGCUAAGUAGUAAACCGAAGCUGCGGCAAUUUCUUUUGAGUAUUGGGUAGGGGAGCGUUCUGUAAGCGGUUGAAGGUGUGUGGUAACGCAUGCUGGACGUAUC